CAGUCGGUUGAGUCGCUGCGUUUGGUCAGUUGCACCUUCUGGGUCACUGGUAGCCGCGGGAGCCGGGUGGGGCCUAGGCGAUGAUCCGGCAUUAAGGAGCUGGGAUCAUCCUCCGUCUCAGGUGGUUUGGGGAAAGUGUAGGGGCAACCAAAGAUCAUCGGCUUGACUAGGCCCUUUGCCCUGAACCUCAUGAAGAAAUGAUAGGAGGCAGACAUAUGUGCCUAAAAAGAGCGUUGAGCUCAGAGAAGAGCAACUCGGAGUUUUGGGGGUGUGCUUUGAUUUGUGUACAUCAAUGGCAGAAUCAUCCAGCGAAUCAGAUCACUUCCGCUGUCGUGACCGAUUGAGUCCAUGGGCUGCCAGAUCAACGCACAGGGGAACUCGAAGUCUUCCUACAGUAGAAGUUACCGAGAAGGUCAACACUAUAACAAGUACUUUACAGGAUACCAGUCGGAACCUGCGACAAGUGGACCAGAUGCUUGGACGAUACCGAGAAUACAGUAAUGGACAGGCGGGUGCGAUAGAACAUUUAAAAGAAAGCUUGGAACAAUCAAUCGACCAACUCCGGAGUCAACGUUUAUUGAGAAACUCAGGAGGGAGAAGUAUUUCUGUUACAAGUUUGAGUGCAAGUGACCUUGAUGGUGGCACUGGGUCAGGUAAACACUUCAAAUGUUCUGAAAAACAUUAAAAAUAUUUUUGAAGUAGAUAUUGAAUACAUUUAAUUUUUGGAGAAAUAUGACCCACACAUAACUUCAUGCAGAUUGGAUGAUAGUACAUGUAGUUGUCAAGGAUUUUAUAGUACAUGCUUUGAAAUAUAUUGAAGGGUCUUUGUUGUUAUAUUGUUUUUUUUUUUUUCUCAAACUCUGUAGACCACAUUAGAGCUUUACCUGACAAAAACUUAGAUUUAAUUGUCUGCUGCCAAAGAAUCAAAACAAAUACAUAAAUUCGCUAUGUGAUACACUUUAGGUUAGGUAUCCUGUCCUAGCGUAAUAGAUUUUCACAUGUUUUAUGAAAUACCCUGUGAUGCUUGUUAAGACCAGGUGAAUUUUAGUCUUGGCAUGCAGGUAGAUAUGAAUGGCUAGCUUAAAGCUUAUGACAGUUUGUCUUAAUUAAUCUUACUUACACUUUUGUAUAGCACUG
rnacentral:lncRNA from 1 species